GAUGAAGAACGCAGUGAAAUGCGAUAAGUAGUGUGAAUUGCAGAAUUCAGUGAAUCAUCGAAUCUUUGAACGCACAUUGCGCCCCUUGGUAUUCCAUGGGGCAUGCCUGUUCGAGCGUCAUUUGUACCUUCAAGCUUUGCUUGGUGUUGGGUGUUUGUCCCGAGGGACUCGCCUUAAAGUAAUUGGCAGCCAGUGCUUGGUUUUGAAGCGCAGCACAAGUCGCGAUUCAAGGCUACACGCCCGCUUCCACAAGCCUUUUUUCACUUUUGACCUCGGAUCAGGUAGGGAUACCCGCUGAACUUAAGCAUAUCAAUAAGCGGAGGA
rnacentral:misc_RNA from 1 species